rnacentral:lncRNA from 1 species
GAAUGCUUUCUUCACUCUCUGCUGACAUAACUGACCAUGGCAGUUGAUCUCUUUUUCGAUCGAAUUCAACAUCAGCCAACUUGGGACUUUGAGGGUGCUAUCUUCUUUUGUUUUUUUUCUUUUGAUUUUGCUUUUGAUUUUGCUUUCUUUUGAUUUCUUUUGAUUUUGCACCCUCCUCUUUCUUUUUUCUCUUUUUUUUUGAUAAUGCCCCAGUUGGCUGUUCUGCUGAUUCUCGAGAUGCAGCUGAGUGAUCUUCUUUUCUUGCUCAAGAAGUCAGGAAAUCUCGUCAGGAAUCCCUUCAACAUCAUCUUCGUCCGCUUCGAAUACAAGGAAUUCAAAAUUGGGAGAUGACGUCCGAUCACUAUGUUCAAUGGGUUUGAGAAAUAACCUGCAUAAUGAUUUAGAGAUGAAAAGCUUUUUGAAAAACAAACAAGACAAUCGUUAUGCAGAUGAAAAGAUUGCUUUUAUUCUUGUUUUUU